rnacentral:pre_miRNA from 9 species
CCAGAUGGCCGUUAAAGUUAACUCAAAUUUCUAUGGAUUUGGAACUUUUGCCUACGUUUGCCGCUAGGGGCGCUGUUCUAAUUACAUACAAAUUUGAGUUAACUUUUACGCUAUCGA